AUUGAACGCUGGCGGCAUGCCUUACACAUGCAAGUCGAACGGUAACAGGUCUUCGGAUGCUGCCGAGUGGCGAACGGGUGAGUAAUACAUCGGAACGUGCCCGAUCGUGGGGGAUAACGAGGCGAAAGCUUUGCUAAUACCGCAUACGAUCUACGGCUGAAAGCGGGGGAUCUUCGGACCUCGCGCGGCCGGAGCGGCCGAUGGCAGAUUAGGUAGUUGGUGGGAUAAAAGCUUACCAAGCCGACGAUCUGUAGCUGGUCUGAGAGGAUGAUCAGCCACACUGGAACUGAGACACGGCCCAGACUCCUACGGGAGGCAGCAGUGGGGAAUUUUGGACAAUGGGCGAAAGCCUGAUCCAGCCAUGCCGCGUGCAGGAUGAAGGCCUUUGGGUUGUAAACUGCUUUUGUACGGAACGAAAAGCCUCUUUCUAAUAAAGAGGGGUCAUGACGGUACCGUAAGAAUAAGCACCGGCUAACUACGUG
rnacentral:rRNA from 1 species